rnacentral:misc_RNA from 1 species
UGUGUGAGGGGCUGUCAGCAACAUGCUACCCCAAAUCAUGAGAAGCCUAAAGCUUUUGGAACUUCUAUCUCAAACAGUGUUGGUGAAACAGCUUCCACUUCUCUGGGCAGUCAGAUAAAUGGUUCAGAACCAAAUAAAAGAGAGGGUUCUGACAGUAUUGAUCCAGCACUUCUGCUCCUACACCAGAAUGACAACACCAAUAGUCCUAUAGGCCAAAUAAAAAUGGAAGAAACCUUCCAUCCUGCUGGAGAAUCUGGAAGCACUUUUUCAUCAAAUUUGUUUCAGGCUUCGGCGGAGUUCUCUAAAA